UACAUGGGGUGCAAACGUUGCUCGGAAUUAUUGGGCGUAAAGCGCGCGUAGGCGGUUACUUAAGUCGGAUGUGAAAGCCCUCGGCUUAACUGAGGAAGUGCACCCGAAACUGAGUAGCUAGAGUACGAAAGAGGGUCGCGGAAUUCCCGGUGUAGAGGUGAAAUUCGUAGAUAUCGGGAGGAACACCGGUGGCGAAGGCGGCGACCUGGGUCGAGACUGACGCUGAGGCGCGAAAGCGUGGGGAGCGAACAGG
rnacentral:rRNA from 1 species